UCCCCGCCCAGGUUCCCUGAAGUCCAUCAAGAUGAUCCCUAAUAAGACAGCAGACGGUACAGGCAUCAACUCCGACACCCUGGCCUUACAGGUGAAGACCCAUCCUGAGCUGAGGGACUAGCUUCAUGUCGUCACCUCUUGGGGGCCUUUGCCUGUCUACCCUGGGGUGGUCAACUCAGAAUUACCUGAGGAAGUACGGUACCUGUCCUCACGGAGGCUACGGUCUCGGACUGGACGUUUCUUGACCUGGAUCCUAUACCGCAUGCAUAUCAGGGAUGUCUGCUUCUACCCACGCUUCAUAAAACGAUGCAUGCCAUAGAUGCGUCAACAUGUCGCCUUCAAUUCUUGAUUCUAAACAUUGCUUAAUAUUUAGUGUGGGAAAUCAAGAUUAAUAAGGGGUGGGGCUAGGUUGAUCAAGUGGGGGGGGGGGUUUGAUUGUAUGCCCUAAGACCAAAUUUCUAGAGAUAAUUAUGCCAUUGUAUUGUAAGGUAUUUCUUCAAGGUGCAGUUUUAAACUUUCUUCACAGUUCGCUCUUUUAGUUUCAAGUAGUUUUGGGUUUUUUUAACCAAAACUCAUAACAAAUUGCAAGGGUUCAACCUAACAUUUCUUAUGAAAUUUGGCCGAAACAGGACUUGCCUCCAAAUGACUCGGCAAUGCCCUACGAUGUAAGAUGAGUUUCAAUCAGUGUUCAAAAAUCCAUUUUUAUGAAGAUUUGAGCAAAAAUUACCGGUUUAUUGAUUGGAAAGAAGUUAUCUUUUGUGACCGCAAUUUCUCCCACAUUUUUGAUGUGAUUAUCUGUUGGAUGGAAUAUCUGACCAGAAAUCGUGUUGGAAUUGGGCCUCAAGUACUUUAGGC
rnacentral:lncRNA from 1 species